rnacentral:lncRNA from 1 species
CUGGAAAGGAAAUAGAGAUGCUAUUGUUCUAAUAGUUCAUUAUGCGAAUAGAAAAACUGAGACACAAAGAAAAAGUAACUUAGCUAAAGCUUUCAGUUAGUACAAAGUCAAAACUAAAACUAAGCUCCCUGAGUUCUUCACAGUGCUAUUUCUAUCACAUUGUGAAACUGAAGCGUCAUCUUCUCUUCCUGAGAAGACCAGUUUGCUAAUGCAAAGAGGGGACAAGACUUUCACAGCCCAAGGAGACUCUACCCAAACGUAAUGACUACACACGUCUGGAGCAGUGCCAGGAGCCAGCCCCAAACAAGAGCUCAUGUGACCAGUCUUCCUAAGUAGAGCUGAGCCUGCUGAUCCAGGGAGAGGUGGGCGGAACAGCUGGAUAUCUGCCUGGCUGAUUACUACGAAGCCCUGCUGUGCUGAACGUUCCCCAUCCCCAAGGAGAAGAGGAGGCCUAAGAGCAGGCAGCUCUGAAGGAAAGAGCAUUUAAGGACCUCAGCGUGAUGUGAUGUGUGGCAUGAUUUCCUUUCCCCAUCCAACCAGUUAGAUAAAUCACACCUUAUCCCAGGAGGAUGAGGAAGAAGCCACCGAAGGAGUGCAAAAGGAGUUUGCCCACUGUUUUGUCAAGAGAGUUGACGGCAUGGAGUUCAGAAAGCAGAUGCACCUUACAGGCUUCCAAAGGUGAUGAAACAACUGGAUUCAACUACUGUGUAAUCAACUGUGGUCAGGUAAAGGCUCCCACACAUUCCAAGAAGCUCUUGUCUGGUUCACAAAAGGCCCCUGGCCAGAGGCUCAUCAACAAAGACAGAAGGGCCUUGAAAGGUCUAACAAGGCAGAAAAGGGUUGAUGUUCCCCCUCCAUGGAAACAGCACAGGACUUGAAGAGCAUAAGCCUUCCUGAGGGUAAACCACAGCUUACUCUUGGGCUCAGACAAUUUGUGGGGAAAGUUGUAGGAUGUUUCCAAAUUAAAGCACACAUUUAAACCAUUCAAAUACUUCUAAAAAUUAAAGUUAUAUCUGAAAACCAUGUGUGUGGUUCUUUCCAUAAAUGUCUACAAUCAAUUACCAUAAUUUUGGUAUAGAGGGGCUGUACCAAGGAAUAUUUUCCCUUGACCAUCUUGACAAUCAUCCCAGUUAAACUCGUUUUGUUUUUUUUUGUUUUUGAUUUUUUUUUUUUUUUUGUCUUUUUGCUAUUUCUUGGGCCACUCCCGUGGCAUAUGGAGGUUCCCAGGCUAGGGGUCCAAUCGGAGCCGUAGCCACCAGCCUACGCGAGAGCCACAGCAACAUGGGAUCCAAGCCAUGUCUGCGACCUACACCACAGCUCACGGCAACGCCGGAUCGUUAACCCACUGAGCAAGGGCAGGGACCGAACCCGCAACCUCAUGGUUCCUAGUAGGAUUCGUUAACCACUGCGCCACGACGGGAACUCCAAAUAUUCUUUUUUUUUUUUUUUUUUCCAGUUAAACUCGUUUUUACUUUUAUCACUUAUUAUCACCAGUGAUAAGUUUCAUUUUGAGACUACAUGUAAUUUUUAUAAAAUUUAACUUGUUUUCC